GCAAACUUUUGAUAUCCAAAAUGGAGAGUGCCAAGGAAUUGCUUUGCGAUUGAGGGUUCGAGUCACGUCAGCCGUCAAAAUUUUGAGGAGGCCUAUGGAGCUGAGUGAGGAUGAGGAUCCAGUUUUGCAAGAUAAAACGACACCAAAACCAAGAAAGAGGGUCAGAUGCCCCUAUGAAUUUGAUGUUGAAAGGUAGAAACGGAAGGGGCUUGCUGGAGGCAUUAACUCGAGGAUGGGUUCUAAACAACAGCGAGAGAUUCAACUCAAAAUUCUAAACAACAGCGAGAGAUUCAACUCAAAAUUCAACUCAACUGAGUGUUGGUUAGCCAUCUAAUUGAAGAGCAUUGAUGGAACCCACCAUCACAAGUGAAGGAAAGCCUUGCGCACAGCCUUGUGGAUCAAUUCAAAAUUUUGAAGGACAUCAACGGAAUCACAGGGUAUGAAGGAACAUCCAUUGAAUAUUAUUUGGCCGAUCUUGAUGCAAAGGAUCGACCACAGCCUUUCUUGUUGAUCCUUGGAGGCACCCAGUGGAAACCGAGCCAGGUUUUGUCAUUGUCGAGCGUAACACCGUCCAGUGUAUUUCCAUCACGCAAGCUCUAGAUGUCUGCUUUAAAGUUAACGUAUGUGCUGGAUGUUGACUACCACACCCAGUGUUUUCCUGCAUUUCCAGAAAUUGGUGUAUGAAUUGCCUCCCGGUGCUUUGAGUGGUGUUGUCCUGCUCAGCUUUUGAACUUUGCUGGGAAACAUCAAGAAGGAAUUUUAGUCUGAAUAGGCAGCAUUCAGUACUAAGGAAGCAAGUAACAGUAGUUUUGUAUUAAAUAGGCGAUUUCUCUUGGUUCUCCUUGUUAAUGAUUAAAGACUUAGACCGUAACCAAAACUGAAAUGGACAAAUCAUAUACCAUUUGAAAGCUUAUAAGCUACUUAACACAGAAAAGCAAGUUUUGUUUCACAAAAUGAGCAUUUGGGGGUGCGGAACACAAAUGCUCAUAAUUCAAAAGCCAGGUGUCAUUACUCUGUUUUGCUUCACAAAAUGAGCACUCCCAAAUUAUGGGGGGGGGGGGAAUCAGGUUCUGCAGAUACAUUGAAUUAUCUGUUCCCAUACAUCUGUUUGUCACUUGCUUCCUUUUGACUAAACAGUAUUUCAUAAUUCAAAAGUCAAGAAAUAUUACUUUUGUUGCUCACAUGUCAGGUACGUCUCGUAAAGUAAAAAAAAAAUAUUAAAAAAAGUUUUGAGAAAGCUGUCACUUCCUUUUUUCAAACCAUGACAGAGUAUCAAUGUGAAAAUGACAAAAACUCAUCUGGAUGGAUAUCUGGACUAAAUUGCAACAUAUGUGUUGACACACAUACAAACAACCUGGUAUUGUUUAUUUAUAUUUUUGCAAAUGUUUACAUUGUUUAUGGAUGAAAGUUAAAUGGAAUAUGAUAGCUAAAUGUGAGAGUUAUUGGUUAUGUCACAUCUGGAUCAAUCAAGGACUUUGAGAUGGGGACUGCCUUUUUACUUUCCAGCUCUUGUUAUAUUUUUGGCUUAUAUGAAAUUUUCUCAUGCAAAUUGCCUGUGAUCCUCUUCAAGUUGUAACAGUCAUGAAGCUUUUGAUUUAUCACUUCUCCCAUUAAAAUUGGCUGUUUUCAAUGAAAAGAGAAUACAGCAAAAUUUAAGGGUUAUGAACAAGGAAAAAUGUAUCAACGGGGCCUUAAUUCAUAAUUGAUAGGUUAAACAUAUAUGUAUUUAACAUAGUUUGAGAUCAGUCGAAACUGGUUUAUAUUACUGCAGAUGUUUCACUGAAAUAUUGUUGCCAAGUUGUCUAUGUAGUCAAAUAUCUAUUAAAAAUUCAACAAUGCAGAGAAGUCAAACAUUGUAUAGAUAUUACUAUAAAACGGAUUAAGUAGCUGAAAAAUUGUUUCACUUUUGUGUCCAACUUCAAAUGUCAUCAAAAUGUAUCGAUAUGUUUAAACAUAUCUACAUAUCUAUGGAAUAUGUAAACAGAUUACAACCUCACAG
rnacentral:lncRNA from 1 species